rnacentral:rRNA from 1 species
AAGUCGAACGGAAACGAUGUUAGCUUGCUAACAGGCGUCGAGUGGCGGACGGGUGAGUAACGCGUAGGAAUCUACCAAAUAGCGGGGGAUAGCCCGGAGAAAUCCGGAUUAAUACCGCAUACGCCCUAAGGGGGAAAGGCCGGGAUCUUCGGACCGGUCGCUAUUGGAUGAGCCUGCGUAAGAUUAGCUUGUUGGUGGGGUAAAAGCUCACCAAGGCGACGAUCUUUAGCUGGUCUGAGAGGAUGAUCAGCCACACUGGGACUGAGACACGGCCCAGACUCC